UUUAAUCAGCAGUAAAUCUCUCAAUCCCGGUUUACAGAGAGAGGCACAUCUGGACAUGUUAUGAAACCACAUUUCGUAAGUCAACACACACACAAACAUCGCAGGGUUCAGGGUAGUGCUUGCUGGACGCCAGGUCAGCUGUACGUUAUCUGAUUCCACACAGGGUCCCUCAGGCCUAGCAGAAGCUGUGUGACAGGGUAAGGUUCAGGGUAGUGCUUGCUGGACGCCAGGUCAGCUGUACGUUAUCUGAUUCCACACAGGGUCCCUCAGGCCUAGCAGAAGCUGUGUGACAGGGUAAGGUUCAGGGUAGUGCUUGCUGGACGCCAGGUCAGCUGUACGUUAUCUGAUUCCACACAGGGUCCCCAGGCCUAGCAGAAGCUGUGUGACAGGGUAAGGUUCAGGGUAGUGCUUGCUGGACGCCAGGUCAGCUGUACGUUAUCUGAUUCCACACAGGGUCCCUCAGGCCUAGCAGAAGCUGUGUGACAGGGUAAGGUUCAGGGUAGUGCUUGCUGGACGCCAGGUCAGCUGUACGUUAUCUGAUUCCACACAGGGUCCCUCAGGCCUAGCAGAAGCUGUGUGACAGGGUAAGGUUCAGGGUAGUGCUUGCUGGACGCCAGGUCAGCUGUACGUUAUCUGAUUCCACACAGGGUCCCCAGGCCUAGCAGAAGCUGUGUGACAGGGUAAGGUUCAGGGUAGUGCUUGCUGGACGCCAGGUCAGCUGUACGUUAUCUGAUUCCACACAGGGUCCCUCAGGCCUAGCAGAAGCUGUGUGACAGGGUAAGGUUCAGGGUAGUGCUUGCUGGACGCCAGGUCAGCUGUACGUUAUCUGAUUCCACACAGGGUCCCCAGGCCUAGCAGAAGCUGUGUGACAGGGUAAGGUUCAGGGUAGUGCUUGUUGGACGCCAGGUCAGCUGUACGUUAUCUGAUUCCACACAGGGUCCUCAGGCCUAGCAGAAGCUGUGUGACAGGGUAAGGUUCAGGGUAGUGCUUGCUGGACGCCAGGUCAGCUGUACGUUAUCUGAUUCCACACAGGGUCCCCAGGCCUAGCAGAAGCUGUGUGACAGGGUAAGGUUCAGGGUAGUGCUUGCUGGACGCCAGGUCAGCUGUACGUUAUCUGAUUCCACACAGGGUCCCCAGGCCUAGCAGAAGCUGUGUGACAGGGUAAGGUUCAGGGUAGUGCUUGCUGGACGCCAGGUCAGCUGUACGUUAUCUGAUUCCACACAGGGUCCCUCAGGCCUAGCAGAAGCUGUGUGACAGGGUAAGGUUCAGGGUAGUGCUUGCUGGACACCAGGUCAGCUGUACGUUAUCUGAUUCCACACAGGGUCCCUCAGGCCUAGCAGAAGCUGUGUGACAGGGUAAGGUUCAGGGUAGUGCUUGCUGGACGCCAGGUCAGCUGUACGUUAUCUGAUUCCACACAGGGUCCCCAGGCCUAGCAGAAGCUGUGUGACAGGGUAAGGUUCAGGGUAGUGCUUGCUGGACGCCAGGUCAGCUGUACGUUAUCUGAUUCCACACAGG